rnacentral:rRNA from 1 species
AGAGUUUGAUCCUGGCUCAGGAUGAACGCUGGCGGCGCGCCUAACACAUGCAAGUCGAACGGCACCCACCCUCGGGUGGAGGCGAGUGGCGAACGGCUGAGUAACACGUGACCAACCUGCCCCACGCACCGGGAUAGCCGGGGGAAACCCCGGGUAAUACCGGACGUCCCCGGGACGGCGCAUGCCGUCCCGGGGGAAGCCCAGGCGGCGUGGGAUGGGGUCGCGGCCCAUCAGGUAGACGGCGGGGUAACGGCCCACCGUGCCUACAACGGGUAGCCGGGUUGAGAGACCGACCGGCCAGAUUGGGACUGAGACACGGCCCAGACUCCUACGGGAGGCAGCAGUGGGGAAUCUUGCGCAAUGGGGGCAACCCUGACGCAGCGACGCCGCGUGCGGGACGAAGGCCUUCGGGUCGUAAACCGCUUUCAGCAGGGACGAGAAGAGACGGUACCUGCAGAAGAAGCCCCGGCUAACUACGUGCCAGCAGCCGCGGUAAUACGUAGGGGGCGAGCGUUAUCCGGAUUCAUUGGGCGUAAAGCGCGCGUAGGCGGCCGCGUAGGCGGGGGGUCAAAUCCCGGGGCUCAACCCCGGUCCGCCCCCCGAACCCCGCGGCUCGGGUCCGGUAGGGGAGGGUGGAACACCCGGUGUAGCGGUGGAAUGCGCAGAUAUCGGGUGGAACACCGGUGGCGAAGGCGGCCCUCUGGGCCGAGACCGACGCUGAGGCGCGAAAGCUGGGGGAGCGAACAGGAUUAGAUACCCUGGUAGUCCCAGCCGUAAACGAUGGACGCCAGGUGUGGGGGGACGAUCCCUCCGUGCCGCAACAACGCAUUAA